rnacentral:rRNA from 1 species
UUGACCUCAAAUCGGGUGAGACUACCCGCUGAACUUAAGCAUAUCAAUAAGCGGAGGAAAAGAAACUAACAAGGAUUCCCCUAGUAACUGCGAGUGAAGCGGGAAAAGCUCAAAUUUAAAAUCUGGCGGUCUUUGGCCGUCCGAGUUGUAAUUUAGAGAAGCGUCUUCCGCGCCGGACCGUGCACAAGUCUCCUGGAAUGGAGCGUCAUAGAGGGUGAGAAUCCCGUCUUUGGCACGGAUGCCUGGUGCUUCUGUGAUGCGCUCUCGAAGAGUCGAGUUGUUUGGGAAUGCAGCUCAAAAUGGGUGGUGAACUCCAUCUAAAGCUAAAUAUUGGCGAGAGACCGAUAGCGAACAAGUACCGUGAGGGAAAGAUGAAAAGCACUUUGGAAAGAGAGUGAAACAGUACGUGAAAUUGUUGAAAGGGAAACGCUUGAAGUCAGUCGCGUCGACCGAGACUCAGCCUUGCCUCGGCUUGGUGUACUUCUCGGCCCGACGGGUCAGCGUCAAUUUUGCCCCUCGGAUAAUGGCAAGGGAAAGGUGGCACCUUUACGGGUGUGUUAUAGUCUCCUGUCGCAUGCGAGGGGUGGGAUUGAGGAACUCAGCGUGCACCUUGGUGUCGGGGCUUCGGCCCACGUCACGCGCUUAGGAUGCUGCGUA